rnacentral:rRNA from 1 species
CUCGUAGUCGGAUUUCGGGGCGGGCCGACCGGUCUGCCGAUGGGUAUGCACUGGCCGGCGCGUCCUUCCACCCGGAGACCGCGCCUACUCUUAACUGAGCGGGCGCGGGAGACGGGUCUUUUACUUUGAAAAAAUCAGAGUGUUUCAAGCAGGCAGUCGCUCUUGCAUGGAUUAGCAUGGGAUAAUGAAAUAGGACUCUGGUGCUAUUUUGUUGGUUUCGAACACCGGAGUAAUGAUUAACAGGGACAGUCAGGGGCACUCGUAUUCCGCCGAGAGAGGUGAAAUUCUCAGACCAGCGGAAGACGAACCACUGCGAAAGCAUUUGCCAGGGAUGUUUUCACUGAUCAAGAACGAAAGUUAGGGGAUCGAAGACGAUCAGAUACCGUCGUAGUCUUAACCAUAAACCAUGCCGACUAGGGAUUGGAGGAUGUUCCAUUUGUGACUCCUUCAGCACCUUUCGGGAAACUAAAGUCUUUGGGUUCCGGGGGGAGUAUGGUCGCAAGGCUGAAACUUAAAGGAAUUGACGGAAGGGCACCACCAGGAGUGGAGCCUGCGGCUUAAUUUGACUCAACACGGGGAAACUUACCAGGUCCAGACAUUGUGAGGAUUGACAGAUUGAGAGCUCUUUCUUGAUUCGAUGGGUGGUGGUGCAUGGCCGUUCUUAGUUGGUGGAGUGAUUUG